rnacentral:sRNA from 1 species
AGUUGCAGCGGCCGGGGAAGAUGGUGGAGGACGGCGCGGAGGAGCUGGAGGAUCUGGUGCACUUCUCCGUGUCUGAGUUGCCUAGUCGCGGCUACGGCGUCAUGGAGGAGAUCCGGCGGCAGGGCAAGCUGUGCGACGUGACCCUCAAGAUUGGGGACCACAAAUUCAGUGCCCACCGGAUUGUCUUAGCAGCCUCGAUCCCGUAUUUCCAUGCUAUGUUUACAAAUGACAUGAUGGAGUGCAAGCAGGAUGAGAUUGUAAUGCAAGGAAUGGACCCAAGUGCCCUGGAGGCUCUGAUCAACUUUGCCUACAACGGCAACCUUGCCAUUGACCAGCAAAAUGUCCAGUCAUUGCUGAUGGGGGCGAGCUUCCUGCAGCUGCAGAGCAUCAAAGACGCCUGCUGCACAUUCCUUCGAGAACGGCUUCACCCAAAAAACUGCCUGGGUGUGCGCCAGUUUGCUGAGACAAUGAUGUGUGCUGUGCUGUACGACGCUGCCAACAGCUUCAUCCACCAGCACUUUGUGGAGGUGUCCAUGUCGGAAGAGUUCCUGGCCCUGCCCUUGGAAGACGUGCUUGAGCUGGUGUCUCGGGAUGAGCUGAAUGUCAAAUCUGAGGAGCAGGUCUUUGAAGCUGCAUUGGCCUGGGUCAGAUACGACCGGGAGCAGAGGGGUCCCUACCUGCCUGAGCUGCUGUCCAAUAUCCGCCUGCCCCUCUGUCGGCCCCAGUUCCUUUCAGACAGAGUACAGCAGGAUGACCUGGUGCGUUGCUGCCACAAAUGCAGGGACCUGGUAGACGAAGCAAAGGACUACCACCUCAUGCCAGAGCGCCGGCCCCACCUGCCAGCUUUCAGAACCCGGCCACGCUGCUGCACAUCCAUCGCUGGACUUAUCUACGCUGUAGGGGGCCUCAACUCAGCAGGUGAUUCCCUGAAUGUGGUGGAAGUGUUCGACCCUAUUGCCAAUCGCUGGGAGAGAUGCCGUCCCAUGACAACAGCCCGCAGCCGCGUUGGCGUGGCUGUGGUGAAUGGGCUUCUCUAUGCCAUUGGAGGAUAUGACGGCCAGCUACGGCUGAGCACUGUCGAGGCCUACAACCCGGAGACAGACACAUGGACCAGAGUGGGGAGCAUGAAUAGCAAGAGAAGGUAUUCUGGAAGCCACGUGCAGCCCGAACAUAUACACUGAGCACCUGGGGAGCGCCAUGCUAGACGAGCAGGGGCACACAGUAGAGUAAAAUACAAGCUUUGGCCUGGGAGUUUCCUGCAGCCAGGCCAGCCACUGCCAGUACCUCCUGGAGCGAGCCCCCAUCUGCUUAAAAGUAAAAUAUCCACCUUGUCCUUUGGGGAACUUGGGGAAACCAGGCGCGGACAUGUGGAAGUUGUGUUGUUAUUUUAAGUGCCAGAUAAGGACUGGAAAUGUGUAUUAUGGAAGAUUCGAAGAGGGAGAGAAACUGGACUGGAACUUCUGGAAGAUUUCAGGGAAGAGGUGGGAUUAAAGUUGAAACUUGAAGAAUAAGGAGGAUUUACCUUUAUUAGUGAUAAAAGGAAAUCCAAGGUGUUUUUCUGUGUACCUUCCUUCCCCAGGACUCCCCUCACACAUGCACUUCCACUACCUGGGGAGAAUACGAACCAAAGCAAUGUUCUUUUAUUUAGGUCACACACAUUCUCCCAGACAGGAGCACAUAGGUAUUUGCAAGGUGGGCCAAGUCGAUAUGUCACUCAGUACAUUCUAGCUACCUGCUCUCUCCACUUCUCUGCUUAUAUUGUCUGAAUAAGAAGUGGGAUUAGAAGACAUCCCAGUGCCUUUGUUUAGCCCUUCUUACUGCUGAGGUGACAGGUGGCAUGUUUCAUUAUGUCAGACACGUGAUGGAGUCAUCACAUGUGUGGGCAGCUGAAAAGCUGGCGCAGCCCAAGGAGGGGAGAGGAAAGCUGCCCAGGGCCCCCUGGCCGUUACCCAGGACAGCUCUGCACUGAUUGCUUUUACACAUUGAGCUUCCUUGAUAUAUGCCUAAUGUUGUUCCACAUCCAGCAGCGUUCGCAUGUGGAUGUGAGCUGGGAGGGAUCUGCCUUUGUACUGGUGAGACCAGUUCACAAAGCAUCGGAGUAGGUUCCUUUGGGAAGAAAAAAAUACGUAAGAUCUGCCCCUCCCAAGAACGCAUUGAGAGUCCUUUCCUCCCACCAUCCCCACUUUUGCUCCUUGGAUACUUUGCAGCUUCCUAUGUUUGAGUGACUCAUUGCUCCAUGUCCCCAACCAUGAGUAGCUUUUUUGCUUUGACUGCAGUCAGCUGUCCUUCCUUGUGUGUCUGCUCUGGACCACUUCCUUGCUUUGAUGUUACUGGGUUUAGAGGGCUGUCUUGGAGGAAAGUUCUCUGGGUAUUCCUUUCCUUCACUGUGGUUAAUAUCCUGUUAUUAGUGUGGGCCCGGUUCCAUUACAUCCCUUUUAAAUUACAGGCUACCUUAAAACGUUCCUAGUCACUUCUCUUCUGACAUCCCACACAGCUGUCUGUUCUGCCAGUUAGUGACAUCCUGCCAUCUUUCCUUCCUAUCUCCCCCAGUGUUCUACGCCAUCCCAUAGAGCUUUCUUACACUGGACUAUUCCAGUCCAUGCUGAUCAGCAUUUUCUCCUUCUCUUCACACUCGCCUUUACCACCUAGUUGAUAGUUAUUCUCAUGCAGUUUUGGGGCACCUCUUAAUUCAUUUUCAUAUUGUUCAACACCUGUUUUGUUAUGUAAUUUUUAUGUUUGUUUUGUGUCCGUAUCCAGAAGGAUAGUGAUCAUGUCUAGUAAAUUUGUGAUCUUCCCACAAUACUUGCCUAAGGCAAGUCCCUCUCCUCUUUCUGGCUGGUUCAGGGGGUCAGUUAUCAUGUCCCUGAAAGGGACAUUCUGUGGAUCAGUUUGAUUACUAUGUACAUUUAAAAGGUAGCAGCAAGCCAGGCGCGGUGGCUCACGCCUAUAAUCCCAGCACUUUGCGAGGCCAAGGAGGGCGGAUCACCUAAGGUCAGGAGUUUGAGACCAGCCUGGCCAACAUGGUGAAACCCUGUCUUUACUAAAAAUACAAAAAUUAGCCAGGCAUGGUGGCGGGCGCCUGUAAUCCCAGCUACUUGGGAGGCUAAGGCAGGGAGAAUUGCUUAAACCGGGGAGGCGGGGGUUGCAAUGAGCUAAGAUCGUGCCACUGCAUUCCAGCCUGGUUGACAGAGUGAGACUCCGUCUC